rnacentral:tRNA from 1 species
GCCAACUUAGCUCAGUCGGUAGAGCACGUCAUUGGUAAUGACGAGGUCUCCGGUUCGAUCCCGGAAGUUGGCU